rnacentral:rRNA from 1 species
UACGGAGGGUGCAAGCGUUGCUCGGAAUUAUUGGGCGUAAAGCGCACGCAGGCGGCAAGGUAAGUCAGUUGUGAAAUUCCCGAGCUUAACUUGGGAGCUGCAGCUGAUACUGUCAUGCUUGAGUACGGAAGAGGGGAGCGGAAUUCCCAGUGUAGAGGUGAAAUUCGUAGAUAUUGGGAGGAACACCGGUGGCGAAGGCGGCUCCCUGGUCCGAUACUGACGCUCAUGUGCGAAAGCGUGGGGAGCAAACAGGAUUAGAUACCCCCGUAGUCC